CCUACGGGUGGCAGCAGUGAGGAAUAUUGGUCAAUGGGCGGGAGCCUGAACCAGCCAAGUCGCGUGAGGGAAGACGGUCCUACGGAUUGUAAACCUCUUUUGCCGGGGAGCAACGGGGUCCUUGCGAGGGCCCGAUGAGAGUCCCCGGAGAAAAAGCAUCGGCUAACUCGGGGCCAGCAGCCGCGGUAAGAGGGAGGAUGGGGGGGUUAUCGGGAUUUAUGGGGUUUAAAGGGUGCGUAGGCGGGCUGUUAAGUCAGCGGGAAAAUGUCGGGGCCCAACCCCGGCCUGCCGUUGAAACUGGCGGCCUGGAGUGGGAGAGAAGUAUGCGGAAUGCGUGGUGUAGCGGUGAAAUGCAUAGAUAUCACGCAGAACUCCGAUUGCGAAGGCAGCAUACCGG
rnacentral:rRNA from 1 species